rnacentral:rRNA from 1 species
GANNGAGUGGAACGAGCGGCGGACGGGUGAGUAACACGUGGGCAACCUGCCUGUAAGACUGGGAUAACUCCGGGAAACCGGGGCUAAUACCGGAUAGUACUUUGGUUCAUAGGAACCGAAGUGGAAAGGUGGCGCAAGCUACCACUUACAGAUGGGCCCGCGGUGCAUUAGCUAGUUGGUGAGGUAACGGCUCACCAAGGCAACGAUGCAUAGCCGACCUGAGAGGGUGAUCGGCCACACUGGGACUGAGACACGGCCCAGACUCCUACGGGAGGCAGCAGUAGGGAAUCUUCCGCAAUGGACGAAAGUCUGACGGAGCAACGCCGCGUGAACGAAGAAGGUUUUCGGAUCGUAAAGUUCUGUUGUUAGGGAAGAACAAGUACCGUUCGAAUAGGGCGGUACCUUGACGGUACCUAUCGAGGAAGCCCCGGCUAACUACGUGCCAGCAGCCGCGGUAAUACGUAGGGGGCAAGCGUUGUCCGGAAUUAUUGGGCGUAAAGCGCGCGUAGGCGGUUUCUUAAGUCUGAUGUGAAAUCUUGCGGCUCAACCGCAAGCGGUCAUUGGAAACUGGGGAACUUGAGUACAGAAGAGGAGAGCGGAAUUCCACGUGUAGCGGUGAAAUGCGUAGAGAUGUGGAGGAACACCAGUGGCGAAGGCGGCUCUCUGGUCUGUAACUGACGCUGAGGUGCGAAAGCGUGGGGAGCGAACAGGAUUAGAUACCCUGGUAGUCCACGCCGUAAACGAUGAGUGCUAGGUGUUAGGGGGUUUCCGCCCCUUAGUGCUGCAGUUAACGCAUUAAGCACUCCGCCUGGGGAGUACGGCCGCAAGGCUGAAACUCAAAAGAAUUGACGGGGGCCCGCACAAGCGGUGG